GGGGACCUGGGAACAAGAGUCAGCAGACAACGUCACGGAGUAGCCGAGUAGCCGAGUGCAAGGAAAUCAUGUGGGGAAGGGCCUGGGAACGAGACAAGAAAACAGGGGCUCGUGUCUCAAAACACCCGAAAAUUCUCGGCCCGAAAACGAUUUAUUCCUUAAAUUUGAAAAGCUGGCUAAUUUAUCUCAAAUUUAUGGUAUCUAAAUGUGUUGAAAUAUCGUCAAACAUCGUAUUUUACCACAAAGAUUCAUGUAAAGGAUGAUUCUUUUUAUAGAUAUAGAUUUAGAUAUUUCCCGAUCUUCUCUGGCCCGAAAUUCACAUGGCUUUAAUAUUAAGAAAGUUCUCGGGACCUCGCAGUCAACCGAGACUUUUCGGUAACUUUCUUUAACUUUAACUUUAAAUAACUUAAUUGCCACUAGCUUAAUUGCCUCAGCGGAGGCUGGCGCGUGAGAACGAUAACGGACGACAACAAGUACAAAAACAAUGAUAAUACAAUGAAAAUACUUGCGAUGCGCAUAACUUAACGUGACAUGCAAUAGCAAACAAACGAAAAACACGAUGAAAGCCCAUCAUCGGAUUAGCUCACUAGGUAAGGCCGCUACAAAGUUGGCUGCAGAUGGUAGACAGGGAAAAACUGCCCGCGGUAAAGCAUUCCAGACGGGGAUAGUGUGUGAGUAGAAGGAGAACUAGAAAGCGUUAAUUUUAGCUAUUAGCGUUAAUUGUAGCUAUUACAGGCACUGGUUCUUGUGAAGUAGACGGCAGGCUUAGGUGGAACAUCAGGUGGGAAAUCAAUUUUGACGAGGCCGGAGUUUAUUUUAUAAAAAAGUGCGAGGUCACUAACUAUUCUUCGAUGUUGGAGUGACUGCCAGCCUAACACAUUAAUCAUUUGGGUAACGCUACUUGUUCUUUGGUAAUCCCCUGUGGUAAAGCGUGCGGCUCUACGCUGGACAGAUUCCAACGUGCUAAUAUCUCUCUUAGUAUGUGGAGACCAUGCCACCGAACCGUACUCGAGGAUGGGGCGGACGAGGGACGUGUAGGCUCGCUCCUUGAUUCGGACUGAACACGAUGAAAGGUUCCUCUGUAGCACUCCUAAGACUCGAUUUGCCUUCUUUAAGUCGGGACCGUAGGCCUUGUUGGGCUGGAUGUUCUUUAGCUGCUUAUGGAUGCCAUUAGUUGUAAAUGUCAGGUCAGCGACCUCUUGGUAUGGGGAGUCACCAAGAACAGGAAUGUUGGUAAGAUCCUCUUGCGUGAAGACGCUCUCGUAUUGGACGCGCAAUGCCUCCGCUUUGGAUGAAUCUGACGCGCAGAUCUGGUCACCUUUUAAAGAGGGUCGGGAUACCCAAGGACUCGGAGCGCAGCAGCUUAAGGUACGACCACGCCCUUUUUGCUCCGCCAGGCUUCAGGCUGGCUUCAGCAAAACUUCUAAAAUAGCCUUAUUGAGCGUAAUCAUUUGGAAUAUGAACCAAGAGGAAAUUCAAACUGUUCUAAAACAUGAAAGCGGUUCUCAAAAAGGAAAACAUGCGAAAUUUUGGGCAAAAAUGCAAAAUAAAAAAACUUCUAAACUUCUAAAUUAUCAUUUAAAUUAUCAUCUAAAUUAUCAUUUAAAACGAUUGCUGAUCUUUCCGAGGUUUGAGCAUGAAUCAAAAUUGCUCAAUUCCGCGAUUAAAAAAAGGAAUAAAAAUUCCCCUAUAAAAUGCCUACACUGGUCUCUGUCGGAGAUUCACCGUUUGUUAAUUUUGUUCAGUUUAGCGUAAAACAAUUGUUCAUCACAUAAAACACGAGGCGUAAUCCUAUAUCAUGGUCCAUCGAUGUUGUUUCUCGAGACUCCCAGAUCACGCAGCCUACGCGUGACUCCUAGAUCACGCAGCCUACGCGUAGACCUAAAUUUAGAGCUGCCUCGAGCAGGGAUCACGUACGGUCGGGCUACUGGUAUGAUGUCAUAGCGGUAAUUGGCCACGCAGCACCAGAACGCGCACGGUCCCACAAUAUCUGUCACGCAAUUCUUGUAACGCAUCUUUUGUCACGCACAGUUUUUUAAGAAAACAAAAGAGAGAGAUUGAUGAUGAAUUGCGUGACAUCGUGAAAGGGUGAACAAUUUGCAGAUAUCAUACAAUGAUGAUCAAAUUAAAAAAACACUACAUUUCGGGACAUCGUCUAUCAACUUCCAAUUGCGCGACAUAGUCGAGUAAUAACCAAUUUGCGAAGCACUUGUUAGCCGGUAUCCUUUCAAAAACACACACAACGUCUGUCGUUAUCCGAUCGUAAGGUAAUCGCAUCUCGUAUACACUGAGCUAAACUCGACAAAUCUUCGGGAAUUUGUCGACAACAUAAAUCGUAAACGUAAAUGAAAUGCUCUUGACAAGAGAACGCAUAUUUGAUAGGGGGAACAGUCUACAAACGAUACAUUUCUACGAACUAAUCAUGAAUAACAGCUAUGCUUGUCGGCAAAUUCAUUGCAAUAGUUGACAUCUUAUUCAGGAAAAGAGCGAGUACUAUUCGGUAAAAGAUCGUGUACAAAUCGGUAGCAAAUUCGUGCAACAUGGGUAAUUAUUCAGGGAGAAAAGAAACCACUCGAGCAGGCGAAACAGCCGAUAUCGAACGGCUAAAAUGAGUAGAAAACACACCAAAAUUACACCUAAUUACAGGGAUAAAUGUUCAACUACACCGCAUAUAACACACAACAACAAAACUGGCGCUUCCACAAUAAGAUGAAGUAGUUUGAAAACAGAGAACUUACAGGUGUUAAUCUAUAUCAAUACAAAAACCCAAAGAAAAGGUGCUGUACAAUGGAAACAACUCGUAGAGAUAUCGAUGAUAAAAUCGUUUUGCACUAGCUAGUCCGAACCCUUUGUGUAUCUCUAGGGAUUGUAAUACUCGUAUUCAUUUAACAUUUACAAAUGAAAUUGCUUUAUAAUUUAUGAGGUUGGAGACAAGAUAAGUCUAGGGUUUGAAUUUGAAUUAUUUAAAUCCAGCAUAUACAAACGCUCGUAUGACGCGAAAGUUACGGCCGCGAAUUUCGCUGGAUUUUCCCUAAAAUCGAGACUUUCACGGGGAUUUUCCCCGCUUUUUCAAAAAGCUCAAACCUUGUUGUUUUCAUUUUUAUCUUGUUUGAGAUGUGCCCAAUAAAUACGACUAAGUCAUGCUGCUUUUGCGUGACAAAUCACAAAAUCUUUUAACCGGAAGGGACAAUUCUUUUGUGAGAAAGAAAGCAACUUUGCAAUAUCGGCGUGCAAACAUUUCAGAGCCGAAGACAAGGGAAUUUAACCUCAACAAACCCUAACUUGAAAUUGCGACAAAGUCUCAUAAAACACUAAAGGAAAAGAAAGGUUGCACUUGUUUUCGCCGCGUACUGGAUACCAUAUGUGAAGCCUGCUACUGGAAAGGUUGGUCGAACAAGGGGAUCUCCUUCUCUUUUCACGUAAAUCUGAGCGUACAAUAUCUCAAGCACGAUGUAUGCAAUAAAUGAAUAUAUGCACUGGAGAACGCCAAGCAACGGUGCAUUUACAUGACGACUUGUAAUAUCACACAAACGCAAAUAGUACAUCUAUACAUUCCGCAAUAUUUUAGGAAAAUGUGAUUUAUACUGUGUACUUUACUUACGUAUAACAGACGAUGUCUUUUGGAGAGAGAUUUAUAAAGCAACGAUAGAGCCCAGUGGCGUGAUGUUGAGAUGUGCAAGCGAUCUUGUUUUAGCUGCGUUUCCCCGAGAGCAUACAAACACUCGAAACGCACUAAAAAUAUUGAUAUGGUGGAAAAGAGCUUCUGAGGAAAAAUGCGACCGGACAGUGCAUUUGGGGGUUUGAAUUAGAAGGCUGUUUUACCCAAAGUUUCUAAGCUGAUCGCCAAACUUUGUAAAUCAUUCACAUUAACAUGAUCAUUUCUUAGAAAUCUUGAAGAUCGGACGUAUUUGGUGUUGGAAAAUCACUCUAUGCGAACUCUCCAGAACUAUACGAUACGGACAAAUAACAGUGACUCAUAAUGACUCAGCAUGAUUUAGUAUCAUUCUAGAUAUUUUCAGAAUAGAACAUUCCGUCGAUCUAUUCUUAGGAACAAUGAUGUAAUGUUUACUUCUAGAACAUUCCGUCGAUCUAUUCUUAGGAACAAUGAUGUAAUGUUUACUUCUAGAACAUUCCGUCGAUCUAUUCUUAGGAACAAUGAUGUAAUGAUUACUUCUAGAACAUUCCGUGACAUGUAUAUAAGCAGCUCGAUCACUGAGAACCUCACUUGUGUUUUCGACCUGGUUCAACUGCUCUUGUGUAAAAGGCACCACUGCUGAUUAAAGAUUGAUUUGAAGAAUCAAGACGUCUUCAUCUCCGUUCAGAGAAACUUUUUCAACAGGUUAUGGGCCCAGCAGUGCAAGCCUGAAGCCGAACUCGUGGAUCGCCAUUUUGAUUUGAGUGACCUGGCCUUUUGCAAGUAAUUGCGUUGCAAGCGAAAUCUUGGGAUACCUGUGGAAGUUCUAAAGCAUGGCUUCAGACUCGAAAAUCGUCACAGUAGUUUCGCUGAAUGGGAAGAAUUACCCUACAUGGAAAGUACUGUGUCGGAUGGCUCUGAUGAGAGACGGACUUUGGGACAUUGUCAUCGCUAAGGAAGUUGCACCCGCUCAGACAGAACGGGAAAAAUAUUCCAAAUUCUUGGCGCGAAGGGACCGCGCUCUGGCUACUAUAGUGCUCUCUGUUGAUCCAACUCUUCUGUAUUUGUAAGGAGAACCGGAAGACCCUGCAAUAGUAUGGAACAAACUAGCAGACCAAUUCCAAAAAAAGACGUGGGCUAACAAACCUUCCCUGAGACGAAAGCUGUACUCGCUACGGCUAAAGGACGGUGAUUCUGUACAAAGGCAUAUCAAGGAGAUGGUCGAAAUUUUUGAUGGUCUAGCAGCAGCAGGUGACCCCGUGAAAGAGGAGGAUAGAGUGGUUCAUUUACUUGCAAGUCUUCCGGAUUCAUACAGUAUGCUAGUAACAGCCCUUGAAGCAAACUCAGAGGUACCAAAGUCACGGAGCGAUUGUUACACGAGGAAAGCAAGCUAAAAGAGAAAUCUAGCAGUUCGGGCGGCGAAGUUAAGGCAAUGGCUGGUGAGCAUCGUCGAAGAAACAAAGGUCUAAGAUGCUACCACUGUCAUAAAUUUGGCCACAUAAAAAGAGAUUGCCGAGAACUGGCAAGCGGCAGUAGUGAUUACGCGCACAAAAGGGAGAAUGCGCACAAGGGAAAACACAAGGCACAUCGGGCGGCGGCGAAACGAAGAGACAGCAGCAGCUCAGACAGUGAAAUUGGCCUGGUUUUAAGUCACGCGCUAUCUGCAAGCUCAGUGGAGGGACAGGAUAGCUGGAUUGUGGACUCAGGCGCAACUUGUCACAUGUGUAGCGAUAAACGUCUGUUUGUCGAACUUUGUAGCCUGUAAGAGCCCGAGGAGGUCACGUUAGGUGAUGGAUAUGCCGUUGAAGCCGCUGGAAAAGGAGUUGAACUCGUAGCAGGCGGUGAGACAAAGAAGUGCAAGCUGCACGAUGUUUUGUAUGUACCGAAGCUGUCAUACAAUCUACUCAGUGUGUCAAGAGUGACGAAUGCUGGAAAGGCCGUGGAAUUCAACGAGGCUGGUUGCGUGAUUUUGGACGGAAACCGGAAGUUGAAAGGAACUGCGACUAGGGUAGGAAAUCUUUACUACCUAAACUGUCGUGAUGGCCAAGCACAGUCAAAUGCCGCUGCAGAAAUAUGGCAUCGGAGAUAUGGGCACCUAGGAGUAGACAACCUGAAAAAGCUGGAUAAGGAAGAAAUGGUCGAAGGUUUCGAUUACAAGUUUUCCAAAGGGAAAGAAAUCUGCGAGCCGUGUACUAAAGGCAAGCUUAACCGCAAGCCAUUUCGGGUUCAAGGCAGCAGACGGUCCGCGGAGCCACUUGGUUUGGUCCACAGUGAUGUUUGUGGAAAACUGAGCACAAAAUCCCUCACUGGUGGAGAGUAUUUUGUCACAUUUAUUGAUGACAAGACUCACUACGUGUAGGUAUAUAUAUAUGGAUUAUAGAUAUGGAUUCAGCAACUUCUAUCAGAUCUUAAAAAGAAAUCCUCUGCUACUGUGAUUUAUGAACAGUUUCAUGGACGCGCCAAGCAUAUAGAUAUCAAGUUUCAUUUCGUUCGCGAGCAAGUAAGUAAUGGCGUCCUUCAAAUUAAGUAUUGCAAGAGAGAAGAUAUGAUUGCUGACAUGUUAACUAAAGGUCUGAGUCAACUACAGUUUUCAAAGCUACGGAACAAGGCUGGAGUUAAGUCAGUUACUAGACAGUUCACUUGCGAUUGAGGAGGAGUGUUGGAAAAUCACUCUAUGCGAACUCUCCAGAACUAUACGAUACGGACAAAUAACAGUGACUCAUAAUGACUCAGCAUGAUUUAGUAUCAAUCUAGAUAUUUUCAGAAUAGAACAUUCCGCCGAUCUAUUCUUAGGAACAAUGAUGUAAUGUUUACUUCUAGAACAUUCCGUCGAUCUAUUCUUAGGAACAAUGAUGUGAUGUUUACUUCUAGAACAUUCCGUCGAUCUAUUCUUAGGAACAAUGAUGUAAUGUUUACUUCUAGAACAUUCCGUGACAUGUAUAUAAGCAGCUCGAUCGCUGAGAUCCUCACUUGUGUUUUCGACCUGGUUCAACUGCUCUUGUGUAAAAGGCACCACUGCUGAUUAAAGAUUGAUUUGAAGAAUCAA